rnacentral:lncRNA from 1 species
GCUCAGCCCUCAAUCUCCGAGUCCUCGUCCAAGAUCCAAGUGGGGCCUCCAAACACUAACAGCAGCCACACACACGCACACACACAGUGUAUUCCAACGAAAAAAAAAAAACGAAACCCAAAUUCAAACCCUAAUCUCACCGAUUUAUCCCUAAAGAAGUAAGCUCGAAUUCAUCGAAAAGAAUCGAGCUUUGCUUCUCAAAAAAGGUUUCUCUCUUU